ensembl:lncRNA
UUUCUCUUCUUAACACUGUGCUCCCCUAAGAGAUGAAGUCUUUCUGGUUCCUAUUUCUCCUAUUCCACAGUUGAGGGCUUUUAUGCCUGGAAAUCCAGUGUGUGAAAGAAAUGGAAGCAAUGCAACACAUUUGAUUUUUAAAUGCUACGACAGGAGACAGUCCUCUGGCACUUGGAAAGUAAAUGUGGAAGUUCAAGAAGAGAAGAAAAGCUUUGAGAAACUGUGUGAGAAUUCUCUCUUCCUUUGUGUAUGCUAUCAUUUGGGGAUGCCAAUCAACAUGUCCUGCCACCUUCUAGUCAAGAGGUGGGUGUGUGAACCACGAUGGCCAAGUAGACACUAAUGGAAUGCUCUCUAGCUAUUGAAGCAGAAGAUUUACUACAGAGAACCAGCCUUCCAGGAAGUACUGCCAGUAUAAGACUGGAGUGAAGAAAGAAUGUCUCCCACCAGGAAGCUGAGGAAUUAGGAAGUCGCCGUGCCAACUUCUGGUGCCCACUGCCACUGUGAGCUCCAGGAAUACGCCUCCUUAGCCGUGACUUGCCAGAAUAGAAGCCACUGCCAGAGUUGUUGGUUCCAGAGCCAUGACACCUGCUGGGAUUGCACCAGCAAUCCAGAAGGACCAUGCCUCUCAACACUUAAUAAGCUGUGGUUGGAUAUUGGGACCCUGGCCAGGGCUAUUGCAGAAAAAUCAAACCCCUUGAUAUUCACUCUCUGGAGUAGAAAUUGCAGAAGCUGCACAAUUGUGGGCUCCACCUCACUUCUGCCUUUCCAGGCACACACAAGUGUAUGUGACUGGCUGAGUAAUAAUUAUCCUCUGGAACACUGGCUGCAAGAGAGACUGCAGAAUAGAGUUUUUAGCAUUCUAGCCUCUACUGUGAAUAAAGGGGCCUUGAAAUGGGGCAGAA